rnacentral:rRNA from 1 species
UACGUAGGGUGCAAGCGUUGUCCGGAAUUAUUGGGCGUAAAGCGCUCGUAGGCGGUUCGUUGCGUCGGCUGUGAAAUCCCGAGGCUCAACCUCGGGUCUGCAGUCGAUACGGGCGGACUGGAGUUCGGCAGGGGAGACUGGAAUUCCUGGUGUAGCGGUGAAAUGCGCAGAUAUCAGGAGGAACACCGGUGGCGAAGGCGGGUCUCUGGGCCGAUACUGACGCUGAGGAGCGAAAGCGUGGGGAGCGAACAGG